rnacentral:misc_RNA from 1 species
GAGAUUUUCAGGAUUGCUGCCAUUAUCAAUGGGCUUGUUCUUGUUGGAGUGGCUGUGGGGUUUGUUCUUCUUCGGAUUGAAGCAUCUGUGGAGGAGGCAGAAUGAGAAGCUACCAAAAAUGGCUGAUUAUGAUUUCAGUUUUCUGAAUUUAUACCAAUUCUCUCCUAUUCUAUAUCACACACCAUUUGGAGAAGAAAUUAGCUCUCCAAAUUCUUCUUUUUCGGUGAGUCCCCUUGAA